UACCCAGAACUCUGACCUGGAAGAACGAGGCUGUUGAGCACAGGACAGAUCAGUGUGGGUGUUCAGGACGAAGACAGGAACUUUGCAGGACCCAUAGUCGCAUUGGAGCAGCAACUCCUCGCCAGAGUUGAGGCACUUCAUCUCUCAUUGCUGAUCCCGUCUUCACAGCAUCAUACUGAUGACCAUUCAUGGCUUAAAGAUCGUAUUUGCUCAUUUUUAAAACUGUGGUUUGGACACC